rnacentral:rRNA from 1 species
AUACGGAGGAUCCAAGCGUUAUCCGGAAUCAUUGGGUUUAAAGGGUCCGUAGGUGGAUAAUUAAGUCAGAGGUGAAAUCCUGCAGCUCAACUGUAGCAUUGCCUUUGAUACUGGUUAUCUUGAGUUAUUAUGAAGUAGUUAGAAUAUGUAGUGUAGCGGUGAAAUGCAUAGAUAUUACAUAGAAUACCGAUUGCGAAGGCAGAUUACUGAUAAUAUACUGACACUGAGGGACGAAAGCGUGGGGAGCGAACAGGAUUAGAUACCCCAGUAGUCC